rnacentral:rRNA from 1 species
AUUGAACGCUAGCGGGAUGCUUUACACAUGCAAGUCGAACGGCAGCUCGGACUUCGGUCUGGCGGCGAGUGGCUAACGGGUGAGUAAUGUAUCGGAACGUGCCCAGUAGCGGGGGAUAACUACGCUAAAGCGUAGCUAAUACCGCAUACGCCCUACGGGGGAAAGCAGGGGAUCGUAAGACCUUGCACUAUUGGAGCGUCCGAUAUCGGAUUAGCUAGUUGGUGAGGUAACGGCUCACCAAGGCGACGAUCCGUAGCUGGUUUGAGAGGACGACCAGCCACACUGGGACUGAGACACGGCCCAGACUCCUACGGGAGGCAGCAGUGGGGAAUUAUGGACAAUGGGGGCAACCCUGAUCCAGCCAUCCCGCGUGUGCGAUGAAGGCCUUCGGGUUGUAAAGCACUUUUGGCAGGAAAGAAACGUCGCGGGCUAAUACCCCGUGGAACUGACGGUACCUGAAGAAUAAGCACCGGCUAACUACGUG